rnacentral:rRNA from 1 species
CCCUUAGAUGUUCUGGGCCGCACGCGUGCUACACUGACCGGCGCAACAAGCUUUUUUCCUUGGCUCGACAGGCCUGGGUAAUCUUCGAACGCCGGUCGUGAUGGGGAUAGAUUAUUGCAACUAUUAAUCUUCAACGAGGAAUACCUAGUAGGCGCAUGUCAUCAGCGUGCGUCGAUUACGUCCCUGCCCUUUGUACACACCGCCCGUCGCUCCUACCGAUUGAAUGGUCCGGUGAGUUUUUUGGACUGUGGCAACGGUUUCGGUUCGCCGUACUGAUGCCGCGGGAAGAUACGCAAACCUUAUCAUUUAGAGGAAGGAGAAGUCGUAACA